rnacentral:misc_RNA from 1 species
UACAGAGACCUCGAGCGUUAUCCGGAAUCAUUGGGCGUAAAGCGUACCGAUCGGUGGUUUUGAAAGUCAGAGGUGAAAUUACAAAGCUCAACUUUGUAACUGUCCUUUGAAACUUCAAAGCUAGAGGGGCAAAGAGGAAGCUGGAACAAACGGUGUAGUAGUGAAAUGCGUUGAUAUCGUUUGGAACACCAAUAGCGAAGGCAGGCUUCUGGGUGCCACCUGACACUGCUAGGACGAAAGCGUGGGUAGCAAACAGG